ensembl:lncRNA
CCGAAGGAAGUUAUGAAAGGGAGAAUAUGGACGAUGAUUUCAGGACUUGCUGCUAUCGAAUACAGAUCGCCCCGUGAUCAAUUUGAUCGAUUAUUAACGUUCAUUAAUACCUAAAGUUGGUUUACAAAGGUAGUUUGAAGUGUUGUGUCAAAGUUUAUAGGCAACUUUUUUAAUUUAAAAAAAUACCGUUGCGUUUUAGAAAGGUGCUUUUUCCUGGAUCAGACGGGCUUCAUAAAUGGACAUUUUGGGUAUACAUGGACGGAUUUAAUCGAAAAAAGGACCCAAUUGUGAUGUUUAUGGGACAUAUAGGAGUGCCAACAAAGAAGCUCGUCAAAGCUGCAGCCGGCUGUCACCUCACCCUACAACAGCCACUCUGCCCUGCCCUAUUCGGCUUGUCAUCUCUCCCGUCGCCUUCUUCAUCGCUCCCGAGAGAACCCGUGGAGAUGACCGGACCAAGGUGCAGCAUGCCCUCAUGCUCUCUCUGCUCAACCACAGUUGGCCACCUUGUCAUCCCCAGGUCCAAGCUCCAGAAUUUCAGUGACAGGGCCUUCUCCAGGGUUGCUCCUAGACUCUGGAACUCCCUCCCUCCAGCCAUCCGCGACUCUGAGUCCAUCAUCAUGUUUCAGUCCCGCCUAAAAACCCACCUCUUCACCAUGGCCUACCCUUACCUCCCCCUCCACCAUUCCCACACACACCUCUUCUGUUUCACACACUCGCACACACACUCACACAUACACGCAACACCUGCUCGCUCACUCACCUGCUAUCUCACUCACAUACUCACACAUCACACCCUUUCCUUGAGCCCUUCUUACCUCCAUUUAGCCCCGUUUACCUGGUUCUAACAUGCAUUAUAUGUCCUGAUCUUGUCCACAGUCUGAUUGUUCCUACAUUUUCAGACAAGUGUAGACGAUUAAAAGGAGCAUUGUGAUCAGAUCUUCCUGACCACGUCUGGAGUUGACAGUGAAACCAUUUCAAUCAUCCUGCCUUAUAAAAUCAUUGACAGGUGACACCAUUGACUUAUGGAAUAGAUAUGUGUCUUAAAAUAAAU